ACAAACGCAUGCGGCGCCAUCUUGUGUCUCAGUUAUCUAUUGUAGUUGAUCGAAGAGUAGCCUACUGUAUAUUUCUGCAGUGUUCCUCUUGUUGCUAGGUUGAAUGUUUUGUACACUGUAAUGGGCUAUUUUUUUCUUAGAGAAAGCUUUAAGGGUACUGGAUAUCCACUUUAUUUUUAAGCUAACCGCUAGUGCGCUAAGGCUUCCAGAUUCAGCUGCUUCAGUUGGUGUAUCUCUACACAAAAACAGCUUAUUAUGCUGCUUGAUGUUGCAAAUUGGUAUCCAAGAGGCAUUUCAGAGGAGACAUCUUUGGUUGUCUGGCAUUCUGUGAUCACCCCAUUGUCACUGGUUGCUAUUGGAGAUGAAAUAUCACCAUCACGGUCAUCAUCACCCUCAUUACUAGAGGCAGGCUCAAUAACAACAGAAGGGAUAGGCAUCUUUUCCUGAGGUGAGGGAAAGAAACAGCAUCAAUCAACAUGCAGCUCAAGUGACAAACCUAAAGUUUGUGGUCUGGAUCAUGUCAUCAGCAUUCCAGUUGGAGGCUUUUGUGAUUGCCAUCGUAACAGGGAUAACAUCAACUGGUCACCUUAGCCACCAGAUCCAGUCUGUAUCCAGAUCAGAUGGUCACUGCAGUCUCCCGGAUCCGUUCCGUAUCCAGAUCAGAUGGUGGAUCAGCACCUAGAGAUGACCUCUACAGCCCUGAACAUGCGGAGACCAGGACACCUAGAUGAGCCCUAAAGACAGAUCCCCAGUGAAGACCUCAUCUCCUAGACGGCAAUCGGGACAGAACCUGCUGGUUCAUUCCGAGAAUCAACCCUGUUGGCAUACCAUUCAGAGUCACAGAUCAGAUGGAAUUCUGGAAAGAGGGUGCAAAGAAAAAGCAUCAGCCUGAAUCCCCUCAUGGUGUUUCUCAUCAGAGAGCUAAUCAACUUUGCCAAAAUUACUGAAAUUUAACAACACAAAUUCAUUUUUACUAUAUUUUAUUUCUGUGAAGUCUGUUUUGCCAUACUGCAGAUACAAAGUCCCCAGGGGACUGUGGUGAUGCCCUUUUUCAGCUAUGCAUGCUAAAG